CGGAGGAAAAGAAACCAACAGGGAUUGCCCUAGUAACGGCGAGUGAAGCGGCAACAGCUCAAAUUUGAAAUCUGGCGCAAGCCCGAGUUGUAAUUUGUAGAGGAUGCUUCUAGGUAGCGACCGGUCUAAGUUCCUUGGAACAGGACGUCAUAGAGGGUGAGAAUCCCGUAUGUGACCGGCCCGCACCUUCUACGUAGCUCCUUCGACGAGUCGAGUUGUUUGGGAAUGCAGCUCUAAAUGGGAGGUAAAUUUCUUCUAAAGCUAAAUACCGGCCAGAGACCGAUAGCGCACAAGUAGAGUGAUCGAAAGAUGAAAAGCACUUUGGAAAGAGAGUUAAAAAGCACGUGAAAUUGUUGAAAGGGAAGCGCUUACAACCAGACUUCUGGGCGGUGUUCCGCCGGUCUUUUGACCGGUCUACUCGCCGUCCCGAGGCCAACAUCAUCUGGGACCGCUGGAUAAGACCUCAGGAAUGUAGCUCCCCUCGGGGAGUGUUAUAGCCUGUGGUGAUGCAGCGCGUCUCGGGUGAGGUCCGCGCUUCGGCAAGGAUGUUGGCGUAAUGGUUGUCAGCGGCCCGUCUUGAAACACGGACCAAGGAGUCUAACAUCUAUGCGAGUGUUCGGGUGUCAAACCCCUACGCGUAAUGAAAGUGAACGGAGGUGGGAAGGGCAACCUGCACCAUCGACCGAUCCUGAUGUCCUCGGAUGGAUUUGAGUAAGAGCAUAGCUGUUGGGACCCGAAAGAUGGUGAACUAUGCCUGAAUAGGGUGAAGCCAGAGGAAACUCUGGUGGAGGCUCGCAGCGGUUCUGACGUGCAAAUCGAUCGUCAAAUUUGGGUAUAGGGGCGAAAGAC
rnacentral:rRNA from 1 species